CUUCAUUUGCAGUUUCUAGAUAGCAGUGUUUAAUGGCAAACAUAAUUUACCAUUAAAAGUUUUACUUUCAAAAUUUUGGAAGCCACACUUACAAUCCGAGUUUUACACCUAUGUGGUGGGAAGAAAUUUUUGCUUGUUCAUGUGUGAGUAUCUAAAAACGAAGGUGGUGGAGUCACUGACCCUGGAGGUGUUCAAGGAACAUUUUGAUGUUGUGCUGAGGGACAUGGUGUAGUGAGAACUAUUGGUGAUAGGUGAAUGUUUGGACUGGAUGAUCUUGUAGGUCUUUUCCAACUGUGGUGAUUCUAUGAUUCUAUGAAAGUGUUGUGGUUUAACAUAGCAGCCAGCUCAGCACCAUACAGCCACAUUCCCUCUCAGUGGUAUACAAGAGAGAAUUAAAAAAAAUAAAAAGGUAAAAUGCAAGAACUUUUGGGUUGAUAAGAUCAGUUUAAUAAGAAAAAGAAGAAACAUAAUAAAAUAACAGAAAAUAAACCAUAAAGAAAUAUAUCAAGAAAUUUUAAAAAAACCAAGUGAGGCUCAACAGUAUUGCUCAACACUAGCUAACAGAUGACCAGACAGUCCCUGAGCAAUGGCAGUCCCUCCACUCAACUUCUCUCACUUUUUGUUAUCAGUAAUGCUGUGGAAUAUUCUUUGGCCAUUUUCAGGCAUCUGGCUGUGUUCCCUCACAGGUUCUUAUGCACUCACAGCCUCCUAGCUGGCAGGACAUCUUGAGAAGCCCAAAGUAUAAGCACUGCCCAUUAUCAACACAAACAUCAGUAAUAUCAACAUUACUUUCAUACUGAAUUCAAAACACUGUAACAAACCAGGUACUCCGAAGAAAUUUAAUUACAUCCCAGAUGAAACCAGGACAGAAAGCAACUGUAUGUUGAUAUAUAUUUUUUUCAUGUUUAUAAGCAGUUCUCAUCACCACUCUUAAAGCACAAUUACCCAGGACAAAAUGCAUGUGAAUUUAACAACAUGCCGUGUUAGUCUUGCCUUCACUUUGUCACACACCCCGAUAAGAUAAAUAUCAAGCAUUUCUUCUCCUUUUUUGACUGCUAAGGUACAGUACUAGAGCAUCUUAUGUGAAUAGAAGAAGGCUGAGGACUGUUGAGAAUCACUGACCAUAGUUCAAUAAGAAAGCCAUGCUUUCUGUUGACCAAAUUUACCUUGAAAAAAACCACCAAUAGAUUGUAUACCUGCUCAUGUUUCAGGAGGGUAACUGGGAGCUAAAUCUUGACUUGUCAAAACAUGAGGAAGACAGUUGCUAUGACUAUUUUAAUUGAGGCUAAUGAAUUAAUAAAUCUACAUCAUUCAAUGAAAAAAAAAUAGGUUUAAUUGAAAAGAUUCUAUCC
ensembl:lncRNA